GGCGAUUCUGCUGCCACAACCUCCUGAGUAGCUGGGAUUACAGGCAUGCACCACCAGGCCCAGCUAAUUUUUGUAUUUUUAGUAGUGACAGGGUUUCACCACGUUGGUCAGGAUGGUCUUGAUCUCCUGACCUCAUGAUCCACCCGCCUCAGCCUCCCAAAGUGCUGGGAUUACAGGCGUGAGCCACUGUGCCCAGCCGAGAAUCUGCAUAUUUAACAAGCCAUUAAGCAGUUGUGACAGAGGAGGUCUAGGCUUUAAGAAACACCAGUGUAUGGAAUGGGAGUUUGGGGAUGGGGCAAGAGAGACAGGUCUCAGUGAUCCUGCCAGAAGGGAGAGGACAGAGAGGGGUGAAGACAAGAGACAGGAAGUGAGGGGAGUUCUUAAAGGGAAGUGAAAUAUGUCAAAAACAAAAUGUGUGUUCUUCAAGUUUGCCUGAGGCUUUGAUGGUGUAGAUAUUAUGUGGGAGGUAAUUUCUGUUUGUUCUGUCUUUGGCAUGGUGCAAAGAUUAUAGGUACCCUGAAUAAAAGUAUCUGGGCAAUUUUAAAGUGUGCAAAGGUCAGCCUCCACUUCAGCUCAGCGUCCCUGUGACAGGCUCUAGCUUAGUACAAUAUUGCCAGUCUGCUCUGGAGUCCAGCGAUAGGAGGAUAAAGAAGAAAGUUUUACAUUUGCUAGCCACCUCUUCCGCCCACAUCGAUGGUACCCUGCUAAUUUUCUCUUUCUGCCCUGAAUUCUUAUGAUGUCAAAGUAGUCUUUUGCAUGGAGAGGAAUUUAAGCCCUGGGAGAAAAUAGGAUUUCCCCAAGAGAGAGCAAAAAGAAGAGGCCCGGACAUUCAGACAUUCAAUCAGGCAGGAUGUACUGGAUAUCUCCUAUGUGUAAGGCACUAUGUUGACCUUGAGGAUACAGGGGGAACAAGAUAAGCAUCAUUGUUGCCCUUAUAGAGCUUCUAGUUUGGUAGGGGAGACAGACAUGUAUAGAAUCUGUUGUACAACUAAUUAUUUAAGUAAAAGUAUGAUAAUUAUUAUAAAGACCUCAAAGGAAAUGUAUCAGGUGCGGUAAGAUAAUUUAACAGGUGGUUUUGCUUAGUUUGAGGGGAAAAACUUUAAGGGCAUGAAGAAUUAGAAAGAGCUAGUGAAAAGAAGGUGUAGCAGCCAAAGAGGUAGGUGAAGAAACAAAUUUGUGGUACGUUAAGAAACCAAGAAGGAGGAAUUUCCAGAGCAUAUUUGUGGUCAUGAAAGUCAAAUGCUGCCAAGAUGGAAAGGAAGAUGGGAGUUGAGACUGGUUUGCUACAUAUGGUGAUGAAAACUGUUCUAGAAAAGUUUCAAGAUUAAUAGGACCAAACACAGCUUACAGGUGGUUAAAAAAUGAGAAGGUGGUGAAAUCCUAAGUACUAUAAUAAGCUCUUACACUCACUUUUUGGUCACUUAACAUGAAGUACUUUGUAAUAUUCUGGCUGUGCUUGCUUUGUCUCCCCAGCUAGAUUGACAGCUUCCUGAAGGUUAUGAUGAUAAACCUAGCCCCUAGCACUGUAUCAACAUGUAGCAUUAGAGUCACCACCUGGAGAUCUAAGACCUUGGCUCUAUCUGGUGCUGGUUCUGCCACACAGAAACCGUGUAACUUGGGCAUGAUCAUCUGUUUCCUCAUCUCUAAAAUGGUGAUAUUCCUAACUUUCCUAUCACUUGGGGUUUUGAAAGGAUCAAAUAGGGCAGUAUAUAGAAAUGGACUUUGUGAAUUAAAAAUUAGUAUUCUAUAGAAGAUAUUGAUAAUAUUCAGUGAAUGACAACAGCUGCUUUACAUCGGAAAUUCUGUGAUAAUCAGUUCUUUGUUUGUUUUAGAUUUGUUCCUUAUAUUGGAAUUGUGACGAUCCUCAUGAAUGACUAUCCUAAAUUUAAGUAUGCAGUGCUCUUUUUGCUGGGUUUAUUCGUGCUGGUUCAUCGUGAGUAAGAAGCCUGCCUUGCUGUUCCUGGGAAGAUGCCAUACUUUUCGUUACUGGAUGUUUGGAGUAGAUACUGGUCUGUGAUUGGUGGAAUGGAGAACACACGUGUUGGUGCUUCUUGGUAGCACUGGUUUGCAUUAGUUUAUGUUUCCACGCCAGAGUUUGUGUGGGCGGGCGCACGUGCACCACAGAGUGCACUUGAGGGGACUUUCAAUCACAGGAUUUCAUAAUUGUCAUUGUCACACUUUCAAAUUUUUGUACAUCAGUGAAUUUUUUAUAUUAAAAGGUUGAGCCAAAGCCCCCAGUGUUUGUAUUUUGAAGCCAAGCUUCACUUCUAAAGUGCCUACAGAGACUUGUAAAUGAAAAUGCAGCUCUGCACGAGUUUGAAACCGUCAUACCUCCUUCUAAUAGGAAUGGCAUAUACUGAGGUGGUCGUAAGUCUUAACUUUUAAAAUUUUAAAUAAAAGACUUUGCACAUUG
rnacentral:sRNA from 1 species